GGCGUCGUAGCUCAGUUGGUAGAGCCGAGGACUGAAAAUCCUUGUGUCACUGGUUCAAUUCCAGUCGAUGCCA
rnacentral:tRNA from 1 species